GAGUUUGAUCGUGGCUCAGAUUGAACGCUGGCGGCAUGCCUUACACAUGCAAGUCGAACGGCAGCACGGGAGCUUGGCUCCUGGUGGCGAGUGGCGAACGGGUGAGUAAUGCAUCGGAACGUAUCCUGGAGUGGGGGAUAACGUAGCGAAAGUUACGCUAAUACCGCAUAUUCUGUGAGCAGGAAAGCGGGGGACCUUCGGGCCUCGCGCUCUUGGAGCGGCCGAUGUCGGAUUAGCUAGUUGGUGAGGUAAAGGCUCACUAAGGCGACGAUCCGUAGCAGGUCUGAGAGGAUGAUCUGCCACACUGGAACUGAGACACGGUCCAGACUCCUACGGGAGGCAGGCAGUGGGGAAUUUUGGACAAUGGGGGCAACCCUGAUCCAGCCAUGCCGCGUGAGUGAAGAAGGCCUGG
rnacentral:rRNA from 1 species